CGCCAGCCUGACGGAGCCAGACCGCGUGGGGGAGGAAGGCCCUUGGGCUGUCAACCACUUUUCUCAGGGAAGAAGUCCUGACGGUACCUGAGGAAUCAGCCUCGGCUAACUCCGUGCCAGCAGCCGCGGUAAUACGGAGGAGGCAAGCGUUAUCCGGAAUUAUUGGGCGUAAAGCGUCCGCAGGGGGCACAUCAAGUCUGCUGUUAAAGGCUGGAGCUUAACUCCGGUAGAGCAGUGGAAACUGGUGUGCUAGAGGGCGGCAGGGGCAGAAGGAAUUCCCGGUGUAGCGGUGAAAUGCGUAGAUAUCGGGAAGAACACCAGAGGCGAAAGCGUUCUGCUGGGCCGCGCCUGACCCUGAGGGACGAAAGCCAGGGGAGCG
rnacentral:rRNA from 1 species